CCUACGGGGGGCUGCAGUGGGGAAUAUUGGACAAUGGGGGGAACCCUGAUCCAGCCAUGCCGCGUGUGUGAAGAAGGCCCUCGGGUUGUAAAGCACUUUCAGUGAGGAAGAACGCCUGGUGGUUAAUACCCAUCAGGAAAGACAUCACUCACAGAAGAAGCACCGGCUAACUCCGUGCCAGCAGCCGCGGUAAUACGGAGGGUGCGAGCGUUAAUCGGAAUUACUGGGCGUAAAGCGCGCGUAGGUGGCUUGAUAAGCCGGUUGGGAAAGCCCCGGGCUCAACCUGGGAACGGCAUCCGGAACUGUCAAGCUAGAGGGCAGGAGAGGAAGGUAGAAUUCCCGGUGUAGCGGUGAAAUGCGUAGAGAUCGGGAGGAAUACCAGUGGCGAAGGCGGCCUUCUGGACUGACACUGACACUGAGGUGCGAAAGCGUGGGUAGCAAACAGGAUUAGAUCCCCAGUAGUC
rnacentral:rRNA from 1 species